rnacentral:rRNA from 1 species
UACGUAGGGUGCAAGCGUUGUCCGGAAUUAUUGGGCGUAAAGAGCUCGUAGGCGGUUCGUCACGUCGGCUGUGAAAUCCCGAGGCUCAACCUCGGGUCUGCAGUCGAUACGGGCGGACUUGAGUACUGCAGGGGAGACUGGAAUUCCUGGUGUAGCGGUGAAAUGCGCAGAUAUCAGGAGGAACACCCGGUGGCGAAGGCGGGGACUCUGGGGCCGAAUACUGACGCUGAGGAGCGAAAAGCGUGGGGAGCAAACAGGG